GUGGGGAAUUUUGGACAAUGGGCGCAAGCCUGAUCCAGCAAUGCCGCGUGCAGGAAGAAGGCCUUCGGGUUGUAAACUGCUUUUGUACGGAACGAAACGGUCCGGGUUAAUACCCUGGGCUAAUGACGGUACCGUAAGAAUAAGCACCGACUAACUACGUGCCAGCAGCCGCGGUAAUACGUAGGGUGCAAGCGUUAAUCGGAAUUACUGGGCGUAAAGCGUGCGCAGGCGGUUUUGUAAGACAGGCGUGAAAUCCCCGGGCUCAACCUGGGAAUUGCGCUUGUGACUGCAAGGCUGGAGUGCGGCAGAGGGGGAUGGAAUUCCGCGUGUAGCAGUGAAAUGCGUAGAUAUGCGGAGGAACACCGAUGGCGAAGGCAAUCCCCUGGGCCUGCACUGACGCUCAUGCACGAAAGCGUGGGGAGCAAACAGGAUUAGAUAACCUGGUAGUCC
rnacentral:rRNA from 1 species